CAGGCUUUUCUUUAUCUUCUAUG
rnacentral:miRNA from 1 species